CAAUAGCGUAUAUUAAAGUUGUUGCAGUUAAAAAGCUCGUAGUUGGAUUUCUGGUAGGAGUGACCGUUCCGAACUUGAUUGUUCGUGUAUUGUGUUUUCUCCAGCCAUCCUUGUGGAGAACUUUUCUUGCAUUAAUUUGUAGGGAUUGGGACCCGCAUCGUUUACUGUGAAAAAAUUAGAGUGUUUAAAGCAGGCAAUCGCUUGAAUACAUUAGCAUGGAAUAAUAAGAUAGGACUUUGGUACUAUUUUGUUGGUUUGCAUACCAAAUUAAUGAUCAACAGGAACAGUUUGAGGAUAUUCGUAUGAACAGGUCAGAGGUGAAAUUCUUGGAUUUUGAUCAGACGAACUACUGCGAAAGCAUUUAUCAAGGAUGUUUUCAUUAA
rnacentral:rRNA from 1 species